rnacentral:rRNA from 1 species
AGCAGCCGCGGUAAUUCCAGCUCCAAUAGCGUAUAUUAAAGUUGUUGCAGUUAAAAAGCUCGUAGUUGAAUUUCGGGAUCAAUGUUUCGGUCAUGCCGUUGGUAUGUACUGAUAUUAUUGAUUUCUCACCUUCUAAAGAACCGUAAUGCCAUUAAUUUGGCGUCACGGGGAAUUAGGACUGUUACCUUGAAAAAUUGGAGUGUUUAAAGCAGGCUCACGCUUGAAUACAUUAGCAUGGAAUAAUGAAAUAGGACAUCCGAUUCUAUUUUGUUGGUUUCUAGGAUCGAUGUAAUGAUUAAUAGGGAUAGUUGGGGGCAUUAGUAUUCAAUUGUCAAAGGUGAAAUUCUUGGAUUUAUCGAAGACUAACUACUGCGAAAGCAUUUGCCAAGGAUGUUUUCAUUAAUCAAGAACGAAAGUUAGGGGAUCGAAGACGAUCAGAUACCGUCGUAG